rnacentral:rRNA from 1 species
GCAGUCGAGCGAACUGAUUAGAAGCUUGCUUCUAUGACGUUAGCGGCGGACGGGUGAGUAACACGUGGGCAACCUGCCUGUAAGACUGGGAUAACUUCGGGAAACCGAAGCUAAUACCGGAUAGGAUCUUCUCCUUCAUGGGAGAUGAUUGAAAGAUGGUUUCGGCUAUCACUUACAGAUGGGCCCGCGGUGCAUUAGCUAGUUGGUGAGGUAACGGCUCACCAAGGCAACGAUGCAUAGCCGACCUGAGAGGGUGAUCGGCCACACUGGGACUGAGACACGGCCCAGACUCCUACGGGAGGCAGCAGUAGGGAAUCUUCCGCAAUGGACGAAAGUCUGACGGAGCAACGCCGCGUGAGUGAUGAAGGCUUUCGGGUCGUAAAACUCUGUUGUUAGGGAAGAACAAGUACGAGAGUAACUGCUCGUACCUUGACGGUACCUAACCAGAAAGCCACGGCUAACUACGUGCCAGCAGCCGCGGUAAUACGUAGGUGGCAAGCGUUAUCCGGAAUUAUUGGGCGUAAAGCGCGCGCAGGCGGUUUCUUAAGUCUGAUGUGAAAGCCCACGGCUC